AAAAAGACAAACCUUGAAUUUUCGUGUCCAAUAUUUGACUGUCCGUCUUAUAUGAAUUUUUUUAUAAUUAGUAUUUUCAUUGUUGUUAGAUGAUAAAACAUUAUUAAUAUUUUAUGAGUGACUUAUCUUAUUAAUUUUUUCAUAAUUUUUUCAAAUAAGACGGACGGUCAAACGUUGGACACAGAAACCCAGGGUUUGUCUUUUU
rfam:Oryza sativa (indica cultivar-group) chromosome 8, whole genome shotgun sequence.